rnacentral:rRNA from 1 species
AUUGAACGCUGGCGGCAGGCCUAACACAUGCAAGUCGAACGAGUGGCGGACGGGUGAGUAAUGUCUGGGAAACUGGCUGAUGGAGGGGGAUAACUACUGGAAACGGUAGCUAAUACCGCAUACCAUCAGAUGUGCCCAGAUGGGAUUAGAUAGUUGGUGGGGUAACGGCUCACCAAGGCGACGAUCCCUCGCUGGUCUGAGAGGAUGACCAGCCACACUGGAACUGAGACACGGUCCAGACUCCUACGUGAGGCAGCAGUGGGGAAUAUUGCACAAUGGGGGCAAGCCUGAUGCAGCCAUGCCGCGUGUAUGAAGAAGGCCUUCGGGUUGUAAAGUACUUUCAGCGGGGAGGCGUUACCCGCAGAAGAAGCACCGGCUAACUCCGUGCCAGCAGCCGCGGUAAUAC